rnacentral:rRNA from 1 species
UAACUGGAGGACCGAACCGACUAAUGUUGAAAAAUUAGCGGAUGACUUGUGGCUGGGGGUGAAAGGCCAAUCAAACCGGGAGAUAGCUGGUUCUCCCCGAAAGCUAUUUAGGUAGCGCCUCGUGAAUUCAUCUCCGGGGGUAGAGCACUGUUUCGGCAAGGGGGUCAUCCCGACUUACCAACCCGAUGCAAACUGCGAAUACCGGAGAAUGUUAUCACGGGAGACACACGGCGGGUGCUAACGUCCGUCGUGAAGAGGGAAACAACCCAGACCGCCAGCUAAGGUCCCAAAGUCAUGGUUAAGUGGGAAACGAUGUGGGAAGGCCCAGACAGCCAGGAUGUUGGCUUAGAAGCAGCCAUCAUUUAAAGAAAGCGUAAUAGCUCACUGGUCGAGUCGGCCUGCGCGGAAGAUGUAACGGGGCUAAACCAUGCACCGAAGCUGCGGCAGCGACGCUGAUGCGUUGUUGGGUAGGGGAGCGUUCUGUAAGCCUGCGAAGGUGUGCUGUGAGGCAUGCUGGAGGUAUCAGAAGUGCGAAUGCUGACAUAAGUAACGAUAAAGCGGGUGAAAAGCCCGCUCGCCGGAAGACCAAGGGUUCCUGUCCAACGUUAAUCGGGGCAGGGUGAGUCGACCCCUAAGGCGAGGCCGAAAGGCGUAGUCGAUGGGAAACAGGUUAAUAUUCCUGUACUUGGUGUUACUGCGAAGGGGGGACGGAGAAGGCUAUGUUGGCCGGGCGACGGUUGUCCCGGUUUAAGCGUGUAGGCUGGUUUUCCAGGCAAAUCCGGAAAAUCAAGGCUGAGGCGUGAUGACGAGGCACUACGGUGCUGAAGCAACAAAUGCCCUGCUUCCAGGAAAAGCCUCUAAG